GCUCUCAUAGUGUAGUUGGUUAUCACCGUGGACUUUGAAUCCACUAACCCUGGUUCGAGUCCAGGUGGGAGCA
rnacentral:tRNA from 1 species